UACGAAGGGGGGCUAGCGUUGCUCGGAAUCACUGGGCGUAAAGGGCGCGUAGGCGGGCUCUUUAAGUCAGGGGUGAAAGCCCAAGGCUCAACCUUGGAAUUGCCUUUGAUACUGAGGGCCUUUGAGACCGGAAGAGGUCGGCGGAACUGCGAGUGUAGAGGUGAAAUUCGUAGAUAUUCGCAAGAACACCAGUGGCGAAGGCGGCCGACUGGUCCGGUUCUGACGCUGAGGCGCGAAAGCGUGGGGAGCAAACGGGG
rnacentral:rRNA from 1 species